CUCCCGGAAACCUGGGUGCUUCAUGUGACCUCACUACUGGGCAUUGGAUGGGCUUCUGCCUCCCCUUCUCCCCGGAUGAGAGCUGUGGGUUGUCAUAUGACCAAGGCAUCCGGAGAUGCAAGGCCCAUGUAGAGAAAACAGGAUAAAGUAGCAUCCCAAGAACCAAUUUUGAUUCCCAUAAUUGCAUCAGCAGCCCCAAGCCUUCCCACAAUACAAUAAUACAUAGAAUAAAACUUCAUAAUAAUUUCAGAUAAGACAGUGUUGGCGGCCAUCUUCCAUGUAGCUUCUCUUCUGACUUCAAUCGGGGCUUGACCACUUCCUAUUGUGUGCAUUUGGGCAAACUGCUUAACCUCUCUGCUGGUUUCCUCCUCUGCAGAUGGGUGCCAUAUUGGUGCCUAUCUCACAGGUUCAUUGUGCAGGUGAAGUCGGCUUGACAAGUGUAAAUCACUGAGAACACUGCCCCUAAAUAUUACCUGUGAAUAUGCAUGAAAACCCCUCUUUGCAGAUCUCCCAGUGGAGGGACAGUUUGGGGAAGUGGUCAGGACAACCCUGCCACCUAGCCCUGGGCCUUACAACUCUCAUGCAGACCUGGGCAGAGCAGAAGAGAGGACAGGACAAGGGGCUUUUCAGGGGCGCUCUAUGAUGGGAAGCUGACAAACAGCAGUGAUUAGCAAACCAGCCCGUGAUGUCACAAAGGGCCCAGGAGCAGAAGGAAGCAGGAUGUCAAGGUCUGGAUGUCAGGAUGCAAAUGUAUGUGAGAACUCAGAAAUGGGAGGGGGUCACUGACCCGUGCCACAAGGAUUUCCGGAGCCCCUUCUGUGAGACAUGCUCUGCUGAGGUGCUGGGGAUAGCACAACGAACCAGGCUGAGAGUCCCUGCUCUCACACAGCCUGUGUUCUACUAGGGGAGAGAACACCCAUAAGAAACUCAGUCAGGCUGGGCACAGCGCCUCCUUCAUGCCUUUAAUCUCAACACUUUGGGAAGCCAAGGUGGGAGGAUUACUUAAGCUCAGCCUGGGCAGCAUAGUGAGACCCCAUCUCUACAAAAAAUUUUAAAUUAGCCAGCCAUGGUGGUGCAUGCCUAUAGUCCCAGCUCCUCAGGAGGCUGAGGUCGGAGGAUCUCUUAACUCCAGGAGGUCAACUAAUGAGCCAAAAUCAUGCCACUGCACUCCAGCCUGAGCAACAGACAAAGACCCUGUCUCAAACAACAUCAACAAACCAGGAACUCAAUCAUUUCCAACUGUGUGAAGGGCCAAGAGGAAAAUAUUCAGGGUGAGAAAACCUUUAAGGAAGGCAUCACACCCACAUCUUCUAGCGUGGGAUCAGAAAAGCAAGUGGGCCCUGGUCCUCCCGACGUUCACAACCCUUACCUCUCAGGAUCUUCUAAGAUGGGACGUCACAUACAGGAGGGGACUACACACAGAAGGCAGCCAAGAAAUGGACGAAAAAGUUUCGAGUAUUUUUUUAAGCACUAAAUGGUUAUGGUAAAAUAUUAUUUUGGAGGAAGUGUAGGGGGAGGCGAGGGGAAAAAAGGUUUUUUGUGUAACAUCAACAAGUAUAAAGUGAAAUUUAGGGUUUCUCAUCAUCCUUGGCUUCUUGUAGCCUCCUCAGAUAUAACUAAUAUUAUCAGAUUUUUCCAGAGAUAAUUCAUACAUAUAUAGCAUAUAUCUAGAUAUUGUCAUAUAUAACACACUAUGAUAUUAAUAAAAUAUCUAAAAUAUUUAUAAUAAUAUCAAGUGUUAACACACAGUGUUACCACACUAUGAUGUUAACAAAUAUCUAUGAUAUUUAUAAUAUCUAGUGUUAACACAAUGUGAUAUUAGUAAACUAACACAGCUACAAAUUCUAGUGUUAACACACUG
rnacentral:lncRNA from 1 species